GCCGCCGCUCCGGCGCUCCCCGUCUCUGACCACUGUCCGCGACGCCCCUCCUCUCCGACUCCUCUGCCGCGAGAGCCAUGGCCGCCCGCCUCCACCAUACCGCCAGGGCGCUAGCCACGCACGCGCUCGGCACCUCCCUCACUUGCAGGCCGCCGCCGUACCUCCGCAGAUGACGAUGUCGAUACAGGAGCGCGCCGCCGCUGCGUGGGGUUCGUGGAUCGGCCACCAUGGUUCCUGCCUGACUGCCUCAACCGUCGCCGCUGUGCGCUGGGCAGUGCGUCUGAUUUUUUUCCCGCGGUCUGUGGCCCUCUCCGCCCUGCCCCCGCUCCAUCUCGGCGAGUGCCACCGCCGUGCGCCAUUUGGGGGCGGCCAUCCCCGGGGUUCCUCCUCCGCAUCCGUGUUCACCGCCCCACCCCUCCUCGCUGAGAUCCCCACACGACGAUCUCCGCUCCCCAACCUCCAUGGAUGAAGUUUCUAAUCGAUCAUGGCAGAUGCUAUUUUCUGCCGAUGCCGAUUCAAUCCAUUGAGUUCCUUGCCAAUCCAUUCAAUCCAUGGCCAAUCCGAUUGAUGGUGAGUUCUUGUCGAUCCAUUUGAUGGCACUUCCCCAAUUGAGAUGGAGUACAUGACUGGAUGGAUGGUUUUAGCAAGCACAAUAUGCUGAGGGCCGCGUAUGCUAUCAUCUGGGAGGUAGGAGCAGGUGUCCACUUGUAAACUGAGGGGCUUCAGCACCGAAGGUCCUUUUGCUUGUCUCUUACGUUCCACUUUGUAAAUUGCAUCUGCUUUGCUUUGUCGAGGACUGAUGAGUGAUGGUCGAACUGCAGCACUAAUUUUAACACAUAAAUGGGACAGUGAGAAUUUACCAAGUGACAGCAUGAUUCUGGGCAUACUCACUUGUGCAUUCAACACUCCAGCCAACUGUUGGUCUUGUGUUCACUCAACAAUCCUUGGCAUUAUUCAUUAGCCUAAGGUAUUCCUUGCCAAUUAAACCUAUGUAUGCUACAACAAAUUUUGUAUUCUCUGGUUUGAUCUCCUUGUGGAUCUGCAUUCUUCUAAUUUUCAUGCCUUGUCAACUACCAAUGUCACAGUGCUUCCUACCAUUUAUCUGGAUGUUUAGUACCAAAGCUAUGUCUUCAAUAUCUCAGGCAUCUAUAGUUCUCUGUUCAUUUCUCUGCUUAUUAAAGCCUCAAGAUAUACAAGGUCUGAAGGUCCCAUAUGAAGUGCCAGUCUGUUGAUUCUGCAUCUAUUUUCACCUUUUAAUGCUUGUUGCGACAGAGAAUGAAAAUUGAUGGUUCCAAAGCAUUGCAGAAGUCAGCUUAAGAUGUCAAAAUUGCGAGAAAAAUGUUCUAUUUCUGAUGGCAGCCUAGGACUCUAGGAGCGCACCAGUUGAGCCUAUUCAUGAAGCCUUUGGGUUGGGACUACAGUAACAGGGUGAAUUUCUCCUUCGCUAGGUCUACGGCGAUGCUGGGAGAUAAAAUGUUAUAUAGUGCUUCUGAUUUGAUAGAAUCCUAUAUAUUAUCUAUCUACAUGUUCAUGGUCUGGGUAUGUGUUCAGUCCUUCUACUCUAUUAGUAACAAGUGUUCUUUAUUUUCAGUGUGAACAGAGCUUCAGAACUUUCAGUGUCAAAACAAAGAUUCAGACUAAGCGUCAGGGGGUGCAAAUGUAGGCUUUUGUCAUUGUGCGUAGUUUGCAGAAUGCACAAUGAGAUGGUGGAUCCCAAGAUAAAUUAGACAAGUUUAGAUUGUAGUUCGUUUUCUAGGGAUUAUGCCAUCAACAUGAUUUUUUUUUGUUAAGCAUGUCAAGAAAUUCAUAAUUGAAUUUCUUGAUAUAUAUUGAUGCAUUAUUGUUUGAUCGAUGAUAUGUACUUUUGGAGAAUGUCUGAGUAAUUUUUUAAAUUCUAGAUUAUGCAAUGGUCAAAACUGCUUGUUUA